rnacentral:rRNA from 1 species
UACGUAGGGUGCAAGCGUUGUCCGGAAUUAUUGGGCGUAAAGAGCGCGCAGGCGGUCGUGCAAGUCGCGUGUGAAAGCCCCCGGCUCAACUGGGGAGGGUCACGCGAUACUGCUCGACUCGAAGGCAGGAGAGGGAAGUGGAAUUCCCGGUGUAGUGGUGAAAUGCGUAGAUAUCGGGAGGAACACCAGUGGCGAAGGCGACUACCUGGCCUGUUCUUGACGCUGAGGCGCGAAAGCUAGGGGAGCAAACGGG